rnacentral:rRNA from 1 species
AUAAACUGAGAGUUUGAUCCUGGCUCAGGAUUAACGCUGGCGGCAUGCCUAAUACAUGCAAGUUGUACGAGAUCUUUUAGAUCUAGUAGCGAACGGGUGAGUAAUGUAUUUCUAACCUACCCUAGAGAGUGGAAUA